rnacentral:rRNA from 1 species
UCUACUAGAGAUUAGUAGUGGGACCUGGUCAUUGAUCAAAGAUAAAAUUUUCUUUAAGUAUGAUUUAAAACACGCCUUAGCGUGAGGGUGAUAAUGUAGCAUAAUAAAAUAACAUUUAAUUGAUGUUGGGAAUGAAUGGUGAAACGAUUAUUAUACUGUCUCGGUAGUAAAACUUUUGAAAUUAAAACGAAAAUGAAUAUUUUUACAAAAAUUUGUAAGACGAUAAGACCCUAAAACCUUUACUAUAAAUAGGUUUUAUUCCUUUUGGUAGUUUGAUUGGGGCGAUCUUUUUUAGAAACAAAAAAAAAAUAAAAAUACCUGUAAUAAGUAAAUUAACAACUGAAUUUCAUAAAGUUAUUUAGUAAAACGAUUUUAAGACCAUAUUUGUAUACUUUGAAAUAUAAUUUUAAAAAAGGUACUUUAGGGAUAACAGGGCUAGACUUAUUUACUAGAAGUUAUAGUAAAUAAAGUUUGCCACCUCGAUGUUGAAUUGAAAUUUCCUAUAAAUGCAUAAGUUUAUAAGGGUUGGACUGUUCUUCCACAAAGAUUUU